rnacentral:lncRNA from 1 species
AAACUGGGGGAUUAUUCAUAGAAUCAGUAGCAUUUAUCCUGAUAUUCCAGCAGGCAAUUCCAGAAAUCGCUUUUGUUCAGCUCAGUGCUCUCUAGAGGCAGAGGAACCCCCCAGAGACCUGAUAAAGGCCCAGCCAAAGGAAAAGCUUCAGCCUGAGCUUGCAACUGCGGGUUCUAGAUACACAGAAAAAUGGGUUUCCUUUGUGCCACUGUUCACCCAGCGAUUUGUUUUCUAUUAGGGUGCCCAUUUGUUUUCAGUUCACUAAGCAGAAGUGAUGAGAACUGUCAGCAGGUACAGCCCCCGUCCCAGACUGCUUUCUGGCACUUUAUCUGUCCUCACCUCCAAUUCUUUUUGCAGCCUUAUGGCCAGGAAGCGCUGUGCCAAGCUGACACCAGCAAGGAAAAGAACAAGAAGGGGAUUCCUGAGAAGACCCAAACUGGAAAAUCAGUCUACAAGAACAGUACAUAAGGGAAGUAAAAAACUCAGGAAAGACUAACAAGAAAUGGAAGACGUGUGAGAAGAGCAACAAGUCUUCACAAUACAACGCACGCUGGAUACACCCAGAGCAGGGGAGAACCAAAGUAAGCACAAGAAAUGAAAGAAUCCCAAGGAAAACCCACAUGAACCAUGGUCCAUGAACCCCCAUGGUUCAUGGGGCUCGUGGCUGGUGGGAGCAGUGACAGAGCUGUCCCCAGCUCACAGGCGGCACAGCGCUGGUGGCUCCUGCGAGCUCCUACUGGGGCACAGUGCUGAGACACCACUAGCCACAUCCUGCGGGACGAAGCUCAGGCCAGGAGAAAAAAAAAAUUAUAAUAACCAGGCAAUCAGCACUGGGUAGACUUUCUUCUUCUCUGAGUAACUGUAAUCUACUUACUGUGCAAAAUAUCUUGUGCUGGGAAGGCAUUGGUGUUAGACCCAUCAAAUGCGUAGAAGCUACUCACUCUUAUCAGGGCACAAUUAAGUCACUUAGUAACUAUCUAAGGCCAUUAGGUGAGAGGAUGUCAUGCUGUUUUUGGCAGUAAUUCAUUAGGUUGUCAUCGCCACUGCCCCGAGAGUACUUGGCAAGUAAUCUUCAAGAAAAAGGAAAGACCCUACCUAACGCUCAUAUCCCCCCUGAAAUAAGAUGUACGUCUACGGGUGUUUUCCGGGCUUCACACACACAACCCAAUGCACCCAAAUGAACUAACGCUGAACGUGGACGUGGUAAACCCUGAGUGUCCUCCCCAGGAAAGGUGCUUUACUGUGUUUUUUGUUUUUUUUUUUUACAAUAAAACGUGCAUCCAAAGCCUGGUAGGCUGGAAC